rnacentral:lncRNA from 1 species
AUUUUGCCUGUAACUCUGCAGAUAAUUUACUCUACAUGUAUAUACAGAGAGUGGCUUUAACAUCAUAUUUAUUUGCCUGUGUCUCCACAGAAAGCCGUGAGACUUACCAGAGAAAGGUGCUGUCCAUCUUCAGCAUUGCCUCAGGGAUCUGUUUUCUCGGAGUGGCAUGCAUGGCUCUCUAUCGCCGCAACAAAGCUGACAAACUCCAUCAUAAGUGGAUGAGGGUGAUGCCUACUCCACGAGCAGUACAAUACAGUGGAUCAAUGUACAAGAUCCAGGUACACAAAGCUCUAACCCAGAGCGUACUUUACAGUAUGAUCUGAGGAUCAUGAAAUCUGAAGGUGGGGCUUUGUAUUAAACUCAGUAUGGCUUCUCUUGCCCUCCGCAGGAGACACAGGGAAAAGCUCCGGGCACACUUCUUGGAGAGCCGGAAUCUGAGGGUGUGCAGUAUCAAUGCCUCUGGGUUCAUGUCUAAAUCCAGCCCAAGGCCUCAGUGUGGCUGGCAGCUUCAAAAGUGCUACAAAUCUCAUGGGUUCUCCCCUCCUCAAGGGUGCAGCAGUCUGUCAGCUGGCGCACCAACAGCAGCUCCACCGACUCUCAACAGAGCACUCCCCAAAGGGAAAAGCUUCAGGAGUAGCUCCCUGUCCCUCAGUCCAGCCCAAAAACACCAGGACAUUCAUCACUUUAGGACCCUGCCAAUCUCUCGAGGACCAAGGGUUGCUGGCCCCGCCUAUAAGCACCUGCAAGUGGUAGAGUCUACAGAGAUGGAGGCGGAGUCUUUAAGAGGGUAAGCACCUGGAUGUUCUGCUUUGCUUUGAAACUGAAUGAGGACAGUGUUAAUAGCAAGGUUGUUUGGUCUUGAUACGUUUGGUUGAAUUAUGUGCUUUGAAAUAAUAUU